rfam:Gorilla gorilla gorilla genomic chromosome, chr9, whole genome shotgun sequence
GCUGGGCAUGGUGGCUCAUGCCUGUAAUCCCAGCACUUUGGGAGGCUGAGGCAGGCGGAUCACCUGAGGUCAGGAGUUCGAGACCAGCCUGGCCAACAUGGUGAAACCCUGUCUCUA